rnacentral:tRNA from 1 species
AAAAACUUAGUUAAAAUAUAACGUUAGUUUGUCAAACUAAAAUCAAUUAAAUAAAUUAGUUUUUA